AGGAUCACGAAGCAAUGCGUACACGUCAUGGAUGACGUAGAUCCGUUACCAACACUAAAUCAAAAAUACGCGCCGCAAUACGUGGCAAUACGGAUCAAAAUCGAUCAAUUUGGGGAAAAUUAGAUUGGUACAACUGAUAGCGAAACAUAUGCUAAAGUUUUAUCGAUUUCACAAGUGUCAUUGGUGUCAACUUUGGUUAUGUUGUGUUAUUGUUUGAUUUUUAGCGUUUUUCUACUUUUCUGCUCGUGUAAUCGUAUCAGUUCUUUUCAGAACUAUAACAGUUCUUUUUAGAACUCCAAGUUAACUGUCGUAUACCGUGGUACGUGUCGCUUGCUUGAACGUAAACAUUCCACCAUGCCGAAGCCCUUGCACAAAGGUGCAAAGCAAAUGGUCGCUAAUUUAGUGGACUAUUUUGCUAAAGAACGCGAUAGCGGGGGACCUCUUUUACCACUAACAGCUGUUCAAGACAGGGUUGCUGCUACUCUGGGUGUGUGUGUGCGAACAGUGAACUCCGUGGUACAACAAAUAAAAACCGGAGAAGGUGUACAUUCUCCCAAGAAAUAGAGACCCCCGAACAAAGCAAGUGUGUGAUAUUAGCACUUCGGAGCAGUGUGCUAUUCGAGAAUGCUUAUAUGGAAUGGUCGAAAAAAGUAUGAAUUUGAUGCGCACGCCUUAUAGAUACUAACGAUUAUUUUACAUGUUACACGAUCGUCAUUACUUGACUGCUUGAAGAAGAAACAUAUAUUUGAGGGUUCUCUGAGCUCUUUAGGAAGAAUUUUACAUUCUCUAUUGGGUUUCGUUAUUCUCCAACAAGUGUACGGAAGCGUCUUAUGGAAUUACAUGUUAUUCAUGCAAAAACAAACUUCUUACGUGAAUACAUGCACAAUCAGCAGAACCCAAAUCCUUUGCCAUGUGAUCUUGAUGAAACAUGGAUAUUUGAAAAUGGUUCGGUAGUUAGGUCCAUGGCAAGACGAUAGUGUCAAAAGUAUCAGGACGUUCAAAAUAGAAGGGAAAAAUAUAUUGUAUUACAUGUAGGUACAAGCAAUGGAUUUAUUGAUAAAGCAGCGCUGGUAUUUUCUUCUAAUACCAAAAAUCCAGACUAUCAUGGCGAAAUGAAUCAACAGAAUUUUCUCAAGUAGUUUCAGUUACUCAUGAAUCUUGAAGAACCGUCACUGAUUAUUAUAGACAAUGCAAGCUACCACAGUACCCUUGCAAACAAAUGUCCCAAUGGUUCAUGGAAAAAAGCAGAAAUUCGUGAACGGCUUUAACAAUAUGACAUAAGUUCAGAUCCAUAGCUGUUAAAAACGGAACUUCAUCAUUUGGUUGCACAAAACAAACAUCCAAAAACGUAUGUUGCCGUGAAUUAGGCCAACAGAAUGGCCAUAGAGUAUUGCGUUUGCCGCCAUAUCAUUGUGUGUUUAACCCUAUAGAAAAUAUUUGGGGAAUUACUACAAAUUAUUAUUCCAAACACAUUGGGCGUGAUGGUUAUGGUCAAACAAAAUUCCGUGGAAAUGUGGAAAGAAGCGUUAGCACAUGUCACGCCCACAAUGUGGAAAAAUACUGUUGACCAUAUGAAUAAAAUAAUACGGGAGUGGUGGGAUUAUUUGACCGUGAAGAGAUUGUGCCGUUUAUAAUCGACAUUAACGAAGAUUCAGAUUAUAGUUUUAGUGAUUAUGACAGUGAAGAUUCUAAUACUGCAGAGGGCAUUCAGCCACUGUAACAUGUAGGUUAUUUUCCAUUACCAUCCUAAUUGAUUGUACUAGCGGCAUGUUCUGCUGAUGUCUUUUAUAAUCACACUAUCACUUCACUGGCCAAAUAUACAGAUCACUGGUCAGACGAAGACGUUGUGCAACAUCAAUAGUUAUUAUUAUUUAUAGUUUACUUUUGUAUCUGUUCCAUGUCAAUAAAGUAACUUGUUCUGUAGAUGUGACGUGGCCAUUGUGGCAUUGAAGACGUUUUCAAACCGAUUCAUUUGUAUGAUAAACGUGGUAGACGCAUGAUGUCAUACAGAGUCCGUGACGUGUACGCAUUGCUUCGUGAUCCUG